CCUGAAGGAACUUAAGUCUGGCUGUUUCCAGAGCUGGAGAAAUGCUGAGAAUGGAAGCCACGGCUGGGCUGAUUCUGGACGGUUUUAAAGAUGAUUUUUGUCAGAAGAACCACAUCUUUGCCUCUGUUCUUUGCUUCUGGGUAAAUUGCUCAUUGCAAACUUCUCUGAUCCUUUCAGGUGAUGCCAAUUGAUUUGCGUUUGGUGGACUGGACUGGACCACUGGGGACAUCCCUGGUGGCGGAAACGGGAAGGCUUUGCCCCAUUUCCCAUGGUGCCAGCUCAUUCCUUCGCUUUUGCUGACUGGCUGGGGAAGUGGAGUAGCCAGAGACCUCUCUCUUGUCACACCCUUGGCCGUCUCAAAUGCUCCGUGAUGUCACUCCUUUCCCUCAGCAGAAGGAACCAGAGGAGAAAUAAAAGGGGGCUUGAGCACUUUGAAUCAAAAGCCAUCUCUGGAUUUAAGGCGGGUUGUUAUUUUAUUUAUUAUUUGUACUUCAAAAUAGUCUUUAUUUUAUCAUAAUAUUAGAGGCAUUUGACAAAAAGCAGUUUGGCAAGAUGGUUAAUAGUGAUAAUGACAUCAGCAACUUACUUUUGAGCCCAGAUGUGCUGGGCACUCCUUUAGACACUUGGUGAGCACAAUGCUAUAAGCUCACCAAGAGCCUGCAAGGGGAGGUGCAUCGUUCUCCUUGUGAGGAAGCACUAACAG
rnacentral:lncRNA from 1 species